rnacentral:rRNA from 1 species
CGGGGGACCUGCCAUGAGGGGGAGCUUGUGGUUUAAUUCGAAGAAACGCGAAGAACCGUAACUAAGCUAGACAUACAAAUGAAAGCUCCUUAAUCGGAGAUUUCGUUUAGGGGAAAUUGGGGAAAGGUGGUGCAUGGUGGUCGUCAGCUCGUGUCGUGAGAUGUUGGGUUAAGUCACGCAACGAGCGCAACCCUUGUCUUUAGUUGCCAGCAUUAAGUUGGGAACUCUAGAGAGACUGCCAGGGAUAACCGGGAGGAAGGUGGGGAUGACGUCAAAUCAUCAUGCCCCUUAUGCUUAGGGCUACACCCGGGCUACAAUGGGUAGUACAGAGGGUUGCCAAGCCGUAAGGUGGAGCUAAUCCU